GCGGUAUUAUGACCGUGCGAAGGUAGCAUAAUCAUUAGUCUUUUAAUUGGAGGCUGGAAUGAAUGGUUAGACGAGAAAUUAACUGUCUUGAAUUUUGAAAUUUGAAUUUAACUUUUAAGUGAGAAGGCUUAAAUGGGCUAGGGGGACGAUAAGACCCUAUAAAGUUUGUACAUUAGGCUAAUUAAGAGUGAUUUAGAUUUAUAAGGCUUUAUUAUUAGGGGGUGUUAAGUUGGGGCGACUAGGAUAUAAUUUAUAUAACUGUUUCUUUAUUAUAAUCAGAAAUAUUUGAGUUUAUGAUCCUUUUUUAGGAUUUUUAGAGUAAAUUACUUUAGGGAUAACAGCGUAAUUUUUUUUGAGAGUUCAUAUCGAUAAAAGAGUUUGCGACCUCGAUGUUGAAUUAAAAUUUCUUUGUGAUGCAGCAGUUACAUGAGAAGG
rnacentral:rRNA from 1 species